rnacentral:rRNA from 1 species
UACGUAGGGGGCAAGCGUUGUCCGGAAUUAUUGGGCGUAAAGAGCUCGUAGGCGGUCUGUUGCGUCGGCUGUGAAAACCCGAGGCUCAACCUCGGGACUGCAGCCGAUACGGGCAGACUAGAGGCAUGCAGGGGAGAACGGAAUUCCUGGUGUAGCGGUGAAAUGCGCAGAUAUCAGGAGGAACACCGGUGGCGAAGGCGGUUCUCUGGGAAUGUCCUGACGCUGAGGAGCGAAAGUGUGGGGAGCGAACAGG